GGGGAGCAGCUCAGGAAGGAAAAGGCAGAGCCUGCCUCCAGCUGAACUCUGACAUUGGCCAGAUUCAACGUGUUACAAACAAACAUAUUCCACCUGUUACAACAAUCUGGCAUAUUACUUCCUUGAUACGUGAUGAUACAAUACCUCUCAGGUUUGCUGAGUAGCAAAGAGAAAUGGAAACAUUAACAGUCCAAUUGCUUGAGAUUUUUGAGAGGCCAAAGGAGCAGCAAAAUACAUGUUGGGGGAAAAGCUUGAAUUGGCAGGUAGGUAGAUUAGUUGACCUAUUAGUUCUUUUCUAUUGCAAACUUCUAUGAUUUUAUGUGGGGAAAAUUCCUUUUCAACCCACGCUGGCAAUCUGUUUAUGUUCUGAAGUAUGAUGAUUGACAUCCCUUUUAACUUUUAACCUAGAGAAUGUCUCUGCAAGUGUUAUUCCUACAUAUAAAUGUCUAAUGCUUUUAAUAAAAAAAAAAAAAAGUCUCUCAAUUAGGGGACUGUAUCCAUGUGCAAAUGCAGAAUGGAGAUCACAACAGAGUCUGAGGUGUUAUCGCGGCAUGGGCAGCACUCCCACUCAGGAAGGAUGGGGCGUUGAGAAGGAAAAGGGAGCAUUUGGGACUUUAUAGACUGGAGAGUAAAG